UACGAAGGGGGGCGAGCGUUGUUCGGAUUUACUGGGCGUAAAGAGCGCGCAGGCGGUCGUUCAAGUCGCGUGUGAAAGCCCCCGGCUCAACUGGGGAGGGUCACGCGAUACUGAUCGACUCGAAGGCAGGAGAGGGUAGUGGAAUUCCCGGUGUAGUGGUGAAAUGCGUAGAUAUCGGGAGGAACACCAGUGGCGAAGGCGACUACCUGGCCUGUUCUUGACGCUGAGGCGCGAAAGCUAGGGGAGCAAACGGG
rnacentral:rRNA from 1 species